ensembl:lncRNA
GCAGCAGGUCCAAACAGGAGCUGAGUACAGACAAAGCCAGAAGGCCUGAGCUGCACCGUGGAAGUCCUCACUCCUGAGAGUGCGGGGGUAAAAACAGCCCAGCGUUGGUGAGCAGCUGGGAGGUGUAAUGUGAAGCGCACAGGCGGAGGGGAGAAGGGAAGAAAGUCAGCUUCACAGGGCCGCUGACCAGCGGGCCACUAAUGAAAACAGUAUGCAGUGCCCCCCCCCCAAAAAAAACACCACCACCCCACGCCCUUCCUAUGCCUUCAGAAAGUGAAGGAUCUACUGUAUGUUUCCCUGUGUUGACCACAUCUGAAGUCAACCAAAGAUCUGGACUUACUCUUCCAGCUUCAGCAGGUAUGACUUUUCACACAAAGCUCAGGCGGACCGGCGGACCCACCACCAUGAUAAAAGACCGCGGC